CCCCCUUCUUUCCCGUGCCGAUGUGCACGCUCGUCGGCGACCGGAGUCACCAGAUUUUGUUACGGAAGUAACCUUCAUUCUUUUACCAUUUUUCUUGGAUUACUGGUGCCGGUGGUCACCGCCGACCACCGGUUUGGCCCUCUUCUUAUCGACGAGUCACCCCCUCCUGCCGACGGCCGCCCUAUGCCGGCUGCACCGUCGGCCGGCCAACCAACGAGGGGACCUCACGGUCCCCUGUUUCAG
rnacentral:lncRNA from 1 species